AUGUCAUUGGAAGCGUGGAGAGAAAAAGAGCGGAAAAUCGAUGGAACUUACGACGACGUAACGUCAAAUUAACGAUGAAACGGAGCAGAACUUAAUUCGUCCCCUUCCGAAGAAAUAUUAAAAAAAAAAAAAAAUCCAUACGAAAGAAAAUAGAAAUAUGACGACAUUGGGGAGCACUGAUUUGCAAAAAUUUGUCAGCUGGAGAGAAAACAUAAACAAAAAGCAUACUUAGAAGGGUGGCAAAGCAUAAGAGAAUAAUACGCAACGAAGAUCAAGGAUAAAAGAGAAUCAUUGUCAAAGACAGCAUUUGAUCCAUAUCCCAGAUCUCACACGUAACAUCGACGUCUCUGUUCCUAUUAAUAACAUUAUACAAUUAUGUACGUACGAAUGUAUAAAAUUCUGUUUUGUUUGUUUCAUUUUACGACUAAUACGGGAAUGUACGAUCCGUUGCUUGUCGCUAAGCGUCCUCGCGGCGCUGGUUAAAUCAUCGAAAUAUCGUUACAACGAUUUUCUUAUAUAUACGACAAAAUUUAUCGAGAACGAACUCGUCGAGAUCGGACAACCUUAUCGAAAUGGUUUCUUUCUUUUCCUUUCUUUUCCUCAUUAUUCAUUUACCUGCAAUAUAUUCAUCGCCAAAGGAACAUAAACCUCGUCGAAUUCGCGCUCGACAAAACCGGAAGUAACUUCAAUCGUUACUCGCGGGAAUGUUUCUUGUUAUAGUUCGGUUUAUCGAAUAAAAUAAAAGAAGAAACAAACUUGCUCACAAUAGCUCCAUUGUUGAUCAAUCGUCGAUUGACUUCUUUGAUCCUACUUUUCUUUUCUUUCUUUUCUUUUUUUUUUCUUGCUUGACGAUUCUUGCUUCCGAACAUUUCAUCCUCAAAUGAUGUACGGUUACAUUAUGACCGUGACAACUACACAUGUUAUGGCACACCUACGUGUGAAUUCAUCAUUAUUCGAAAGGAUUUCGAAUCGGACCACAUUCCACAUUAAUAGACGAAGAUGUUUUGCACGCUGGAAAAUCAAUUAAUGCUAACAUACACUGAUCGUAAAACAAUAGCUUCGUUUCAACAAAGAUCGCAUCUAUUACGUUAAGCGUCAUUGAACAAUCAUUUUGCCUUUCUCGAUAGUUACUAUUAUACAUUAUUAAAAACAAGUAACUACAUCACAGUUCUAAUGGCUCAGUCGUUUGAUCCGUUGAUGCGUUUGUAUUAUCGAAUUUCAUCUCAUCUUCAGAACAGUAACGACGAUCGUCAGAACCUUUAUCCAUGGGAACACAUAAAAGUUAUCAUAUGUGUAUAAA
rnacentral:misc_RNA from 1 species